GUAGCUGGCAAGCGUUGUCCGGAAUUAUUGGGCGUAAAGCGCGCGCAGGCGGGUUCUUUAAGUCUGAUGUGAAAGCCCACGGGCUCAACCGUGGAGGGUCAUUGGAAACUGGAGAACUUGAGUACAGAAGAGGAAAGCGGAAUUCCACGUGUAGCGGUGAAAUGCGUAGAGAUGUGGAGGAACACCAGUGGCGAAGGCGGCUUUCUGGUCUGUAACUGACGCUGAGGCGCGAAAGCGUGGGGAGCAAACAGGAUUAGAUACCCUGGUAGUCCACGCCGUAAACGAUGAGUGCUAAGUGUUAGGGGGUUUCCGCCCCUUAGUGCUGCAGCUAACGCAUUAAGCACUCCGCCUGGGGAGUACGGCCGCAAGGCUA
rnacentral:rRNA from 1 species